CAAGCCAAGGCACGAUCGAGUAUUAUGAAUGAGUUUGGGGUAGUAUGGGGAAAGUCCAGUGCGAUCCUGGCGCUGUGCCGCAACUGUGAUUAGAAAUUGAAUAAAACUGCGUUUUUUUGAUUUCUAUAAGCCAGAAUGCCUAUCUGCUCCUUUGUCCACUC
rfam:Pleurocapsa sp. PCC 7327, complete genome.